ensembl:lncRNA
UUAAAGGAUAAUUUGGCUUGGGAAAGGACAUUGGCCUGUACACAGAAAACUGUCUUUACAAAUGCCCCACAGAGAUGAUCCUCUGCGCCCUGAGCACGAGGCCUCACCAAGCUGAAAGGGACCUUCUGGGGACAGAGAAUGUGUUGGCUCCAUUUGCAGUGGCUAAAUAAUGCAAAACCUGAUGGUCGUUUAUGUUCUAUAGAAGGGCCAGGUUUUAUCCUGCUGCAAUUGAAAUGUUCAACAGAAGUAGCUGGUUGUUACUGUUUCUGCUGGGGUGUUUUGUUUUGUUUUGUUUUUUUGAGUGUUCUGUAACUUGUUCUGGAUUCUGACUCCAAAAAGUAGCAAUCUAUGCCAAGGAGAUACCCACUCCAGUGUUCUUGCCUGGAGAAUCCUAGAGGCAGGGGAGCCUGGUGGGCUGCUGUCUAUGGGGUCGCACAGAGUCGACACAACUGAAGCGACUUAGCAGCAGCAGCAGCAUGCCAAGGAGAUAGGGGGAACCAAAGGAUGAUUAAAAACAAAUUCAAGGCAAUAGUUUCUUCCUGUUGAAACCCAUCUCUUUCUGUUGAAUUCUAGUUCAUUAGGAGAAAGUACCAGCAAAGUUGAAAUCCCUUUUUGUGGCUAUUUCUCCAUAAUCCACUUUUUCUUUUUCUUCUUCCACAUUCCUAAGAGAGCUGCUGGGUGAAGAGGAAGACUUAAAAAUCUUCCUCUUGUUGACGUCACCGUCUGCACUCCUUCCACAUGUGGGCAGUCUGCUGAAGCUCCUAUUAGCUCUGCCUCUGAGGGCCUCACCUUUGCUGCUGCUGACUGCGGGCCUGUGGAUGCUGUCUGGGGCCCACCGCUGUUGCUAGCCUUGGCCUCUGGUUAAAAGGCCCGCACUCCCUGCAGUCUCCUCAUCCCACCCCGAGGCCGCCACAGGUCACCGGCUGAGGGCACCCGUGGUGGGAAGCCCCAUGGACUGCUGGGCAGUGCCAUUUGCAGGGCUUGGACUAGGAUACGACCGCGGGAUUUUCAUCCUGGCUUACCUUUCACCCAAUGCUCCGUGUAGCUCUCCUGCCGUCUGAGGGAUAACGUGCAGGCGGCUCCCUCGGUGGAAGAGGAAACUGAGGUUUAAAUGAAUUAGAAAACUUGGCCAAGAGCAUGUAUCUAGCAGAUAAUGGAGCCGAUAUCUUGGGAAGGAGACACCCCAAGAGCCAUGGUGGCCUGCACAUCAUCGUGGUGUCUCCUGAAGCAUAAGUCAAAAUCCAGUUGCCAAGACUAGACUGUGUUGUAGACCACUCGGGUUAGUUUUUGGCUUGAUGGACGCUUACAGCUGAGCCUUUCCACUUCUGUCUGUAUCUGGAGGCCGUGGAGGCCCCCAAAGUAGUGGGUGCCAAGCACGAGUGAGCACUCGCACUGAUUUCCUUCCCCGGCAUGUUGCGUUUGGUCGCUGUGCUGUGACAGCAUGUGCCCUCCCGUUCCCCACGGCCUAAACCCGCGCUCUCCACCUUCUCUUACGUACCUGAACUUCACGGCUCCUGACAGCAUCUGUGUCCAGCCUUGACCCCAGGCACUUCCUGAUAAGCCUGACGUUUGGAUCAGAGCUGUCAGCUCGUACACACCACCAGACCACAUG